rnacentral:tRNA from 1 species
GCCGGCGUAGCUCAGUUGGUAGAGCGCGUCCUUGGUAAGGACGAGGUCGUGGAUUCGAGUUCCAUCGUUGGCUCCA